UCCUGUUUUUCAGUAAUUUCCCAUUCUACCAAUUUUGUGUUUUGCUUUGGUUUUGGUUCUUUUACAGCUGAGGUUUUUUUUUCUUUUCUUUCAUCGUUGCUAGCAUCAAGGAUUAGGAAUUUGGCUUUAUGGUCUCACCACUUGGCGAUCUGUUCGAGGAUUAAUGUUUUCCAGAGGCCUAAUGUCUGUUAAAUGACAGACAACAGAAAGUCUGGCUUGUUAGUCUUAUCUGUUUGUCUUUUUGUCUACUUUGAACUCACAUCAAUUAAGAAUUUCAUGCCCAGCGGGAGUAGAACAGCUCUUUGAUACCUGGACUGAGAGAGGGUCUCACAAUGUUGCCCAGGCUGGAGUGCAGUGGCUUUUCCCAGGUGCGAUCAUGGUGCACUAAAGCCUGGAACUUCUGGCCUUCCAGUGAUCUUCCCACCUCAGCCUCCCAGGUCAUUUUCUUCAAAAUAAAACAAACAGACUGGA